rnacentral:rRNA from 1 species
GAUGAACGCUGGCGGCGUGCCUAAUACAUGCAAGUCGAGCGAAUGGAUUAAGAGCUUGCUCUUAUGAAGUUAGCGGCGGACGGGUGAUUAACACGUGGGUAACCUGCCCAUAAGACUGGGAUAACUCCGGGAAACCGGGGCUAAUACCGGAUAACAUUUUGAACCGCAUGGUUCGAAGUUGAAAGGCGGCUUCGGCUUUCACAUAUGGAUGGACCCGCGUCGCAUUAGCUAGUUGGUGAGGUAACGGCUCACCAAGGCAACGAUGCGUAGCCGACCUGAGAGGGUGAUCGGCCACACUGGGACUGAGACACGGCCCAGACUCCUACGGGAGGCAGCAGUAGGGAAUCUUCCGCAAUGGACGAAAGUCUGACGGAGCAACGCCGCGUGAGUGAUGAAGGCUUUCGGGUCGUAAAACUCUGUUGUUAGGGAAGAACAAGUGCUAGUUGAAUAAGCUGGCACCUUGACGGUACCUAACCAGAAAGCCACGGCUAACUACGUGCCAGCAGCCGCCGUAA